GAUGAACGCUGGCGGCGUGCCUAAUACAUGCAAGUCGAGCGAACAGAUGAGGAGCUUGCUCCUCUGACGUUAGCGGCGGACGGGUGAGUAACACGUGGAUAACCUACCUAUAAGACUGGGAUAACUUCGGGAAACCGGAGCUAAUACCGGAUAAUAUAUUGAACCUCAUUGUUCAAUAGUGAAAGACGGUUUUGCUGUCACUUAUAGAUGGAUCCGCGCCGCAUUAGCUAGUUGGUAAGGUAACGGCUUACCAAGGCAACGAUGCGUAGCCGACCUGAGAGGGUGAUCGGCAACACUGGAAGUGAGACACGGUCCAGACUCCUACGGGAGGCAGCAGUAGGGAAUCUUCCGCAAUGGGCGAAAGCCUGACGGAGCAACGCCGCGUGAGUGAUGAAGGUCUUCGGAUCGUAAAACUCUGUUAUUAGGGAAGAACAAAUGUGUAAGUAACUAUGCACGUCUUGACGGUACCUAAUCAGAAAGCCACGGCUAACUACGUG
rnacentral:rRNA from 1 species